GCGCUCUUAGUUCAGACUGGUAGAACGUAGGUCUCCAAAACCUGAUGUCGUAGGUUCAAAUCCUACAGGGCGUG
rnacentral:tRNA from 2 species